rnacentral:rRNA from 1 species
CCGUCAAUACUGACGGCGAAUUGUAGUCUCGAGAAGCGUCUUCACGGUGGAUCCUCCCUGCCAAAGUUGCUUGGAACAGCACAUCAGAGAGGGUGACAAUCCCGUUCGUGGCAGGGCGGGCCGCAUUACGAUACGCUUUCCAUGAGUCGGGUUGCUUGGGAAUGCAGCCCAAAAUUGGUGGUAGACUCCAUCUAAAGCUAAAUAUGUGCACGAGACCGAUAGCGAACAAGUACCGUGAGGGAAAGAUGAAAAGAACUUUGAAAAGAGAGUUAAAAAGUGCGUGAAACCGUUAGAGGGGAAGCGGAUGAAGUUAGCAAUGCUCCCGCGAGAUUCAGGUAGAUGGUAUACCACCGGCUUGACGUAUGGUUGGCGGAUCCGAAUGGACUGUCACCAUGCGACUGGGUCGGCCACCUACCGCACUUCUCGUGCUGGGGCGCGUCAACAGCUGCUGGACGGGCGCACAGUUGCGUCCAUUUUCGGGCUAGACGGCACCUGUGAAAGGUAGGUGUCUUACGAGGCCGCCUUGGUGGCUUUGGAGACACUGUUAUAGACACUGGUGUCCCAGCUCGGGUCUGGCAGAGGUAGGAUUCGUUGCGGUGCGUGCCUGCGCCCUCGGGCGUGGGCUGGCGUCCUGCUGCACGUUCUCGUAGCUGUCAGUGGUGCACUGCUUGCAGUUCGCUGCAGAUGGCGAAAAGGCGUGUGCAGUGCAUGCACACACAUGCACCAAAGUUGUUGGCGGCCAUAUGGCUUCUUCCGACCCGUCUUGAAACACGGACCAAGGAGUCUAACAUGUGCGCGAGUCUUGGGGUGACUGAAACCCGGAGGCACAAUGAAAGUGAAGGCUGCCGUGCUGCUGCUCAGAUUCUCGGGUCUGUGCCGCGCUGGCGGCUGAGGUGAGAUCUCUGCUUGCUGCUGCUGCAACAUGCUGCUGCUGCGGGUGGAGCGCAUCAUCGACCGACCUAUUCUACUCCUAGGAAGGUUUGAGUAAGAGCGUACAUGCUGGGACCCGAAAGAUGGUGAACUAUGCCUGAGUAGGGUGAAGCCAGAGGAAA